rnacentral:rRNA from 1 species
UACGUAGGGUGCAAGCGUUGUCCGGAAUUAUUGGGCGUAAAGAGCUCGUAGGCGGCUUGUCGCGUCGUGUGUGAAAUCUCAGGGCUCAACUCUGACAUUGCAUACGAUACGGGCAGGCUUGAGUUCGGUAGGGGAGACUGGAAUUCCUGGUGUAGCGGUGAAAUGCGCAGAUAUCAGGAGGAACACCGGUGGCGAAGGCGGAUCUCUGGGCCUUACCUGACGCUCAGGUGCGAAAGCUAGGGGAGCGAACAGG